ACUGCCUCUAGAGGCUUUUCUGGUGUGGCUUCCCUGUCACAGUUUUGUCAGUAGGUGGCAGAGAGAAGGAUGCUUUGUCUAUGCUCUGCAUCUUCACCCAUGAGCCUUUGAAUGAUUAGUAGCCUGACAUU
rnacentral:snoRNA from 1 species